UACGAAGGGGGCUAGCGUUGUUCGGAAUUACUGGGCGUAAAGGGCGCGCAGGCGGUCGAUCAAGUCAGGCGUGAAAGCCCCGGGCUCAACCUGGGAAUAGCGCUUGAGACUGAUGGACUUGAGUUCGGGAGAGGAGAGCGGAAUUCCCAGUGUAGAGGUGAAAUUCGUAGAUAUUGGGAAGAACACCGGUGGCGAAGGCGGCUCUCUGGACCGAUACU
rnacentral:rRNA from 1 species